UACAGAGGGGGCAAGCGUUGUUCGGAAUUACUGGGCGUAAAGGGCGCGUAGGCGGCCUGCUAAGUCGAACGUGAAAUCCCCGGGCUCAACCCGGGAACUGCGUCCGAUACUGGCAGGCUUGAAUCCGGGAGAGGGAUGUGGAAUUCCAGGUGUAGCGGUGAAAUGCGUAGAUAUCUGGAGGAACACCGGUGGCGAAGGCGGCGACCUGGACAAGUACUGACACUCAACUGCGAAAGCGUGGGGAGCAAACAGG
rnacentral:rRNA from 1 species